CCUACGGGAGGCAGCAGUGAGGAAUAUUGGUCAAUGGGCGCGAGCCUGAACCAGCCAAGUCGCGUGAAGGAAGACUGCCCUAUGGGUUGUAAACCUCUUUUAUAAGGGAGCAAAAGACGCCACGCGUGGCGUUCCGAGAGUACCCGAUGAAAAAGCAUCGGCUAACUCCGUGCCAGCAGCCGCGGUAAUACGGAGGAUGCGAGCGUUAUCCGGAUUUAUUGGGUUUAAAGGGAUCGGAGACGGGAAGUUAAGUCAGCUGUUAAAAUGAGCGGCUCAACCGUUUCAUAGCAGUUGAAACUGGCUGCCUUGAGUGCGCGAGAAGUAGGCGGAAUGCGUGGUGUAGCGGUGAAAUGCUUAGAUAUCACGAAGAACCCCGAUUGCGAAGGCAGCCUGCUGAAGUGUCACUGACGCUGAAGCUCGAAAGUGCGGGUAUCGAACAGGAUUAGAUACCCGUGUAGUC
rnacentral:rRNA from 1 species